rnacentral:rRNA from 1 species
GAAUAAACUUGAUGGGUUGUUGCUGGUUCCUAGGAGCAUGUGCACGCCUGUCAUCUUUAUACAUCCACCUGUGCACCUUAUGUAGUCUUUGGAGGUAACGAAGCGYGAAACUGAUCGAGGAUUCCCUCGGAAAAGAGGCUUGCCACGYGUGAGUGUGGCUGACCUUGAUGCUCGCGCGAGUUGCUCCCAAGUCUAUGUCUUUCAUAUACCACGCAGAAUGUUUUAGAAUGUAUUUCAUUGGGCCUCAGUGCCUAUAUAACACAAUACAACUUUCAGCAACGGAUUUCUUGGCUCUCGCAUUGAUGAAGAACGCAGCGAAAUGCGAUAAGUAAUGUGAAUUGCAGAAUUCAGUGAAUCAUCCAAUCUUUGAACGCACCUUGCGCUCCUUGGUAUUCCGAGGAGCAUGCCUGUUUGAGUGUCAUUUAAUUCUCAACCCCUCCAGUUUUUUUGUGACUGGCUUGGUGGCUUGGAUGUGGGGGAUUGAUUUGCGGGCCUUUUCAGAGGUCGGCUCCCCUGAAAUGCAUUAGCGGAACCGUUUGCGGGAACUGUCACUGGUGUGAUAACUAUCUACGCCAACGACAACUGCUCUCUGGUACUUCUGCUUCGAAUUGUCCACCUUGGACAACGAUAUUUGAAUCCUUGACCUCAAAUCAGGUAGGACUACCCGCUGAACUUAAGCAUAUCAAUAAGCGGAGGAAAAGAAACUAACAAGGAUUCCCCUAGUAACUGCGAGUGAAGCGGGAAAAGCUCAAAUUUAAAAUCUGGCGGUCUUUGGCCGUCCGAGUUGUAAUCUAGAGAAGCGUCACCCGCGCUGGACCGUGUACAAGUCUCCUGGAAUGGAGCGUCAUAGAGGGUGAGAAUCCCGUCUCUGACACGGACUCCCAGGGCUUUGUGGUGCGCUCUCGAAGAGUCGAGUUGUUUGGGAAUGCAGCUCUAAAUGGGUGGUAAAUUCCAUCUAAAGCUAAAUAUUGGCGAGAGACCGAUAGCGAACAAGUACCGUGAGGGAAAGAUGAAAAGAACUUUGGAAAGAGAGUUAAACAGUACGUGAAAUUGCUGAAAGGGAAACGCUUGAAGUCAGUCGCGUUGGCCGGGGAUCAGCCUCGCUUUUGCGUGGUGUACUUCCUGGUUGACGGGUCAGCAUCAAUUUUGACCGCUGGAAAAGGGCACGGGGAAUGUAGCAUCUUCGGAUGUGUUAUAGCCCCUUGUCGCAUACGGCGGUUGGGAUUGAGGAACUCAGCACGCCGCAAGGCCGGGUUUAACCCACGUUCGUGCUUAGGAUGCUGGCAUAAUGGCUUUAAUCGACCCGUCUUGAAACACGGACCAAGGAGUCUAACAUGCCUGCGAGUGUUUGGGUGGAAAACCCGAGCGCGUAAUGAAAGUGAAAGUUGAGAUCCCUGUCGUGGGGAGCAUCGACGCCCGGACCAGAACUUUUGGGACGGAUCUGCGGUAGAGCAUGUAUGUUGGGACCCGAAAGAUGGUGAACUAUGCCUGAAUAGGGUGAAGCCAGAGGAAACUCUGGUGGAGGCUCGUAGCGAUUCUGACGUGCAAAUCGAUCGUCAAAUUUGGGUAUAGGGGCGAAAGACUAAUCGAACCAU